rnacentral:rRNA from 1 species
UACGUAGGGUGCAAGCGUUGUCCGGAAUUAUUGGGCGUAAAGAGCUCGUAGGCGGCUUGUCGCGUCUGCUGUGAAAACCAGAGGCUCAACCUCUGGCCUGCAGUGGGUACGGGCAGACUAGAGUGCGGUAGGGGAGAUUGGAAUUCCUGGUGUAGCGGUGGAAUGCGCAGAUAUCAGGAGGAACACCGAUGGCGAAGGCAGAUCUCUGGGCCGUAACUGACGCUGAGGAGCGAAAGCAUGGGGAGCGAACAGG